GAUGAACGCUAGCGGCAGGCUUAACACAUGCAAGUCGAGGGGCAGCAAGGGUAGCAAUACCUGUUGGCGACCGGCAAACGGGUGCGGAACACGUACGCAAUUUACCCUGGUCUGGGGGAUAGCCCGGAGAAAUCCGGAUUAACACCCCAUAAGAUAUUAGAGUGGCAUCACUUAGAUAUUAAAUCUCCGGAGGACCGGGAUGAGCGUGCGUCCCAUUAGCUAGUUGGCGGGGUAAAGCCCACCAAGGCGACGAUGGGUAGCUGGUGUGAGAGCACGACCAGCCACACGGGCACUGAGACACGGGCCCGACUCCUACGGGAGGCAGCAGUGAGGAAUAUUGGUCAAUGGACGCAAGUCUGAACCAGCCAUGCCGCGUGAAGGAU
rnacentral:rRNA from 1 species